ACGGAAGGCAGCAGUGGGGAAUAUUGGACAAUGGGGGCAACCCUGAUCCAGCGACGCCGCGUGAGUGAAGAAGUAAUUCGUUAUGUAAAGCUCUAUCAGCAGGGACGAUAAUGACGGUACCUGACUAAGAAGCUCCGGCUAAAUACGUGCCAGCAGCCGCGGUAAUACGUAUGGUGCAAGCGUUAUCCGGAUUUACUGGGUGUAAAGGGUGCGUAGGUGGUAUGGCAAGUCAGAAGUGAAAUGCGGGGGCUCAACCCCUGAACUGCUUUUGAAACUGUCAAACUAGAGUGCAGGAGAGGAAAGCGGAAUUCCUAGUGUAGCGGUGAAAUGCGUAGAUAUUAGGAGGAACACCAGUGGCGAAGGCGGCUUUCUGGACUGUAACUGACACUGAGGCACGAAAGCGUGGGGAGCAAACAGGAUUAGAUACCCUGGUA
rnacentral:rRNA from 1 species